AAUAAGUGUAGUCGUGGAUAUCUGUGUCCAAUAUUUGACCGUCCGUCUUAUUUGAAAAAUUUAUGAAAAAUUUAAAAAUAUUUAGUCACACAUAAAGUAUUAUUCAUGUUUUAUCAUCUAAUAGCAAUAAAAAUACUAAACAUAAAAUUUUAAAUAAGACGAACGGUCAAACGUUGAACGUGAAUAGUGCAAAACUGCACUUAUU
rnacentral:pre_miRNA from 1 species